UUGCUGGAUUCACAAAUCACGAUUAAUUUCUGGGUUUAAUUUCAAACGGGAUUGUAGGGAUUGGAUUCAUGAAUCUGACGAUUAGUUUCCAAGUUUUAAUUGAAUUAAUUGUAUUGGAUUUCAAUGUUGAUUGGAUUGGAAGGAGGAUUGUGAUUGAAAAAUUCAAAGAUUUUGGGAUUGCUGAAAGGGUGGAAUUUCAAUCAUCUGGUUCUCUACAAGUCCAGGUCCCUUUUUCUCCCUUAGCUUUGUUUGCAACAACAUCAAUUUCUGCCCUCUAUUUCCAAUGCAGUCCAGGUCCCUUUGCUCAAAAUAUAAUUGAAUUGGCAUUGUGAAUAGAUCUACAGAAUUUUGGAGGGUCAUCAGCAGCAGGGUCUCAUAUUGCUGUUGUCUGCAUCGUCUCAGCAUUCAUUCAAAUAUCCAGAGGUUUGUUCAACUUGUGACAAGGGGCCAAGGAGGACCCUAGCUAAGUCUGGAAGUGAUCACCGUCGCUCCUUGCCUGUGGAGCUCAUACUGAUACAAGUAUCGGACCUGCAUCUGUGGACCAACCGGCUUCAUGGUUCACUGCUUUCUACUACAGACCAUCGAUUUUUUGCAGGAAGUGUUUAGUGGUUUGACAUUGUGUAAAGUUCCAGAGAGGAAUUGGACAUAUUCAUUUACUAUCCCUCAAAAAAAAAAAGAAUGCAAUACAAAAACUAUUACUGCUGGGAAGAUGGAGUUUGAGGCACAAAUUGCCUAUUCUGCCAUGUCAGAACUGGACCUACCUGUUCCAGCUCAAGGAUCAAUGCUGGUGUGGAUUUUGGUCCAAUGGGCCAUAAUCGUCCGGUCAUCCAAGUUACCAUUUCUGCAACCAAAAGCAGAAUUUGAUCGUCUCAUUGGUGUUUGGUGCCAGACAAGUUACAAGGUGCAUACUCAGCAGCAAGCUAAUGGCCGCCUACAAUAGUACCCCUGAUAAAAUCUUGAUGAAUGCAAAUAGAUCAUACCGGGAUCAAUCCUCCCACAAAGGCCUAUGAAACCUUAUCUGUUGCACCAGGUACAAAUAGGGUUUAGUUUAAUACUGAUGUUUGCUCUCUUAUUUGACUAGGAUGUCGAAUUGUCAGUUAGACAGUUACUGAUCCAAAGCAGCGAUUACUUGCUAACAGCCCAAAUGCAAUAUUUAAGCAAUUAGGUGAUUAUAAUGUUUAACGAUUUUGUGCAUGGAAGACAUACCUAAUUAGGAUAUCCAAUGUUGGGAGUGCAUGGAGUUUCAAUUUCAUGAUUAAAACAUCAUCGAAUGGUGCUGGUUGAAGCAGAAGGAUCCUACACUGAUGAAAGCACCAUGGAUUCUGUUGAAACAACAUUGUGUUCGGAGUUACAGGAAACACUUUGAGCUUCUCUUUACAAUUAAAGAUCUAUCUUAGAAAAAUAACUAGCUAGACAUUAACACAAAAUCGACAUCAUCACAUGAUCUGUACUCUGUCAUUUAUUCAUCUUACUGGGAUUGAACUUUAUAUCUUGUUAAGGUGGAACCUGACUACAGGGACAGAAAGGCCUAAUCCACAAGGAAACUUUAACGUAGAUAAUGUGCAUCAACAGCAGAUAUUGAUGGUGCACCCAAGUUUACAGCCAACAAUUUGUCUUACUUAACCCCAGAUACACCAUUGAGCUUGCAUGAAUUCUCUACUUACUCUACGAAUGUUAAACCUGAGCAUGGAGCUGUUGCAAGUGGGAUUCACAAAGGGUGGAUGGAACUUGUUUUCCACAAUUAUUUGGAGGUCAUGGAUUCCUGGCAUUAGGAUGACUUCGGAUUUUUUGCUGUUGGGUAAGUACCAAGUCUAAUGUAUCAUCAGGGAAAUGUUCAAUUGUCAAACUCUUAGCGAGUUGUAACAUGACAGGGUAGACUUUCUGAUACUGAAAUAUUUUUCAGCUAUGGCAAUGGAGUUCUUUUGAAAACCAAUUGGACGGAAAUAUAUUUCCAAGAGGGAGGAUAGAUAACAGAUCUGAACUCAACUUACUUCUUAUUUUCAGAAUUGUACCAUGCUUUCAGUGAUUUAGAUUUGUUUUUUAAUUCUAGUUUAAAAAAGGAGAAAACAGUGCAACAAAUCUAUAAACUAUAUUCUCAAACUUGUUUCUAGCAGGUACUAUGGAAUUUUGAGGUAUCUGACUCUGAAUGCCUUAUGUUGCUACUGCUGGUAAAUUGCUCGAACUGAUUGGGACAUUUUGCAGUUGGAUAAUGGUUCUUGAAAGCUUGCAAUUACCCUGUACCUGUAAUAUAUUUUUGAACUGUAAUGUUACUUUUGAACUCAAGUUUGCAGGGACAUGCAUAUGCAAUUGUUUUGUAGUUGAUUUGCAUAGGGCAUGGCAAGAGUUUGUACAGACAUUCUAUUUCAAUUAAUGGAAUACAUAUCUGAUAUGUGUUUGCUGUUAA